UACGGGGGGGAGCAAGCGUUGUUCGGAUUUACUGGGCGUAAAGGGCGCGUAGGCGGUCAGCACAAGUCAGUUGUGAAAUCUCCGGGCUUAACUCGGAAAGGUCAACUGAUACUGUGCGACUAGAGUGCAGAAGGGGCAACUGGAAUUCCUGGUGUAGCGGUGAAAUGCGCAGAUAUCAGGAGGAACACCGGUGGCGAAGGCGGAUCUCUGGGCCUUACCUGACGCUGAGGCGCGAAAGCUAGGGGAGCAAACAGG
rnacentral:rRNA from 1 species